UCCCUGGUGGUCCAGUGGUUAAGACUUUUUGCUCCUAAUGCAAGUGGCCCAGCUUCAAUCCCUGGUCAGGGAA
rnacentral:tRNA from 1 species